rnacentral:rRNA from 1 species
GACGAACGCUGGCGGCGUGCUUAACACAUGCAAGUCGAACGGAAAGGUCCUGCUUUUGUGGGGUGCUCGAGUGGCGAACGGGUGAGUAACACGUGAGUAACCCCCCCUUGACUUAGGGAUAACUUCAGGAAACUGGGGCUAAUACCGGAUAGGAGCUCCUGCUGCAUGGUGGGGGUUGGAAAGUUUCGGCGGUUGGGGAUGGACUCGCGGCUUAUGCGCUUGAUGGUGGGGUAGUGGCUUACCAAGGCUUUGACGGGUAGCCGGCCUGGGAGGUGAAACAGCCACAUUGGGACUAAGGUACGGCCCAGACUGCUACGGGAGGCAGCAGUGGGAAGUAUUACACAGUGGGCGGAAGCCUGAUGCAGAAACGCCGCGUGCGGGAUGACGGCCUUCGGGUUGUAAACCACUUUCGCCUGUGACGAAGCGUGAGUGACGGUAAUGGGUAAAGAAGCACCGGCUAACUACGUG